UGGGGAAUAUUGGACAAUGGGCGGAAGCCUGAUCCAGCAACGCCGCGUGAGGGAUGACGGCCUUCGGGUUGUAAACCUCUUUCAGUACCGACGAAGCGCCGAUGAUGGUGGUGACGGUAGGUACAGAAGAAGCACCGGCCAACUACGUG
rnacentral:rRNA from 1 species